CUGGUCCCUGAGAGAUUUUUAAAAUUCUUAUUUUAAAAAGCCGAAGGCUUACCGCCUUUUAAGGGUGAGAGAUUUGAAGAAACAAAAGUUCCGACAGCGCUCCAAAUAGUGUUAACCCUGAGAGGUCCCUGGGGAAUUGGGCGGGGGGAGACGAAAACGGUUUUUCAUACUUUCACGCUCUCGUGAUCCUCCGAUCAUGAAGCGACCUAUCUCAUUCAACGUAGAAUGACUUUUUACAUCUAAUACGACUAAUUUUUACAAGUGUUAACGAAAUUAACGGGGUUAUAAUCGGGGAAAAGAACAAAAAAAAGGGAAAACUUCUAAAUGAUGAGAAAAAGUUCGCUUCUAAUAUUUGAGAAUCUAACCACCUCUAAUUUAAAGAAGAACUUUCCCUUUAACGAAAAAAACUAGAAUUGCGAUAUCUUAUUUGUUUUUCGCGAGAUAUCUGCAAAAGAAAAAGACACCCAGAUUGACUUUUAGUUGGAUUCCCCAGCAGACGACAUUUUCUAUAGCCUGUGUCUGCUUGUCGAACGUCAAGCUCAAUCAAAACAAUCAACGAGGCUAGAAUUUCAUUUGAUUAUCGGACGCUGUGUCUCAAUUCGCUUCCCAAUCUAAUAUUUGUCACCCAUUCGCAAGAUCCGGAGAUCCUAUUCCAGUUUAUCCUAUCUGUGCAUCAGUUUGUUUUCGGGGCUAUACCAGUAAUUCCACAAGUAUGUUUACACACAUCAAGACGCAGGGAAUGGUUACUUUACUAAAGAAGCUCAGUUUGUUUUCGGUACAACUACUCACUAUUGUUCUUGAUGCUUUGUAAAAUCUUAUUCAAAUUCCCAAAGAUUUGAAUUUAAAAAAAAAUUACGUUGUGAAACAAUAAUAAAUAAUGAAAGAGACAUGGUAAAA